rnacentral:rRNA from 1 species
UGGGGAAUAUUGCACAAUGGGCGGAAGCCUGAUGCAGCGACGCCGCGUGAGGGAUGGAGGCCUUCGGGUUGUGAACCUCUUUCGCCAGUGAAGCAGGCCCGCUCCUUUUGGUGGGCGGGUUGACGGUAGCUGGAUAAGAAGCGCCGGCUAACUACGUGCCAGCAGCCGCGGUAAUACGUAGGGCGCGAGCGUUGUCCGGAAUUAUUGGGCGUAAAGGGCUUGUAGGCGGCUGGUCGCGUCUGCCGUGAAAUCCUUCGGCUUAACCGGGGGCUUGCGGUGGGUACGGGCCGGCUUGAGUGCGGUAGGGGAGGCUGGAAUUCCUGGUGUAGCGGUGGAAUGCGCAGAUAUCAGGAGGAACACCGGUGGCGAAGGCGGGUCUCUGGGCCGUUACUGACGCUGAGGAGCGAAAGCGUGGGGAGCGAACAGG